rnacentral:rRNA from 1 species
UACGGGGGGGGCAAGCGUUGUUCGGAAUUACUGGGCGUAAAGGGCUCGUAGGCGGCCGCCUAAGUCAGACGUGAAAUCCCUCGGCUCAACCGGGGAACUGCGUCUGAUACUGGGUGGCUUGAAUCCGGGAGAGGGAUGCGGAAUUCCAGGUGUAGCGGUGAAAUGCGUGGAUAUCUGGAGGAACACCGGUGGCGAAGGCGGCAUCCUGGACCAACACUGACGCUGAGUGAGCGAAAGCCAGGGGAGCAAACGGG